rnacentral:rRNA from 1 species
CCUACGGGAGGCAGCAGUGGGGAAUAUUGGACAAUGGGCGAAAGCCUGAUCCAGCCAUGCCGCGUGUGUGAAGAAGGCCUUCGGGUUGUAAAGCACUUUCAGUGGGGAAGAAAGCCUUGGGGCUAAUACCCUCGAGGAAGGACAUCACCCACAGAAGAAGCACCGGCUAACUCCGUGCCAGCAGCCGCGGUAAUACGGAGGGUGCGAGCGUUAAUCGGAAUUACUGGGCGUAAAGCGCGCGUAGGCGGUCUGAUAAGCCGGUUGUGAAAGCCCCGGGCUCAACCUGGGAACGGCAUCCGGAACUGUCAGGCUAGAGUGCAGGAGAGGAAGGUAGAAUUCCCGGUGUAGCGGUGAAAUGCGUAGAGAUCGGGAGGAAUACCAGUGGCGAAGGCGGCCUUCUGGACUGACACUGACGCUGAGGUGCGAAAGCGUGGGUAGCGAACAGGAUUAGAUACCCUGGUAGUC